UCGAGGGGUACAGAGAAAAGCUUGCUUUUUUGCUGACGACCGGCGCACGGGUGCGUAACGCGUAUACAAUCUGCCUUAUACAGAGNGAUAGCCUUUAGAAAUGAAGAUUAAUACCUUAUAGUCUAUAUAUAUAGCAUUAUAUAAAUAGUAAAGCUUCGGUGGUAUAAGAUGAGUAUGCGUCCUAUUAGUUAGUUGGUGAGGUAACGGCUUACCAAGACAACGAUAGGUAGGGGCCCUGAGAGGGGGAUCCCCCACACUGGUACUGAGACACGGACCAGACUCCUACGGGAGGCAGCAGUGAGGAAUAUUGGACAAUGGAGGCAACUCUGAUCCAGCCAUGCCGCGUGCAGGAAGACGGCCCUAUGGGUUGUAAACUGCUUUUAUAUAGGAAGAAACCUUUUCACGUGUGAGAAGCUGACGGUACUAUAAGAAUAAGGACCGGCUAACUCCGUGCCAGCAGCCGCGGUAAUACGGAGGGUCCGAGCGUUAUCCGGAAUCAUUGGGUUUAAAGGGUCCGUAGGCGGGAAUCUAAGUCAGUGGUGAAAUCUUGCAGCUCAACUGUAAAAUUGCCAUUGAUACUGGAUUUCUUGAAUUAGUGUGAAGUGGUUAGAAUGUGUAGUGUAGCGGUGAAAUGCAUAGAUAUUACACAGAAUACCAAUUGCGAAGGCAGAUCACUAACACUAUAUUGACGCUGAGGGACGAAAGCGUGGGGAGCGAACAGGAUUAGAU
rnacentral:rRNA from 1 species